CUCUACGUCUCGCAAGAGCUAUAGGAAGACUUUUAUCGUUUCUAAGGUAGCUCCACAGCUCCGCGAGCUCCGCCAUUGUUGGAGUGUAACUACACACACUUACAAAAUCCAAUAGAAGCGAGAAGAAGGGGGACAAAAGAGGACAACCAUGACGGGCCUCCCCAUCCUUGCGCCACAUGGCCACAAUUUAAAUCGCCUAGGGGGGACCGUACAUUGUCGCCACCAAAGAAAUCGAUACCCUCUUUGUUGGCGUAACGCUGGAAAGGCUUUGUGCCGCUAUCACGGCAUAUUCCCUG